rnacentral:tRNA from 1 species
CAAAUUAUUCUUAGGGAGGUCUCCAUUUACGCUGGGGAUUAUUUCGUGCAAUUCGAUAUAGUUUGA